UACAGAGGGUGCGAGCGUUAAUCGGAAUUACUGGGCGUAAAGCGUGCGCAGGCGGUUGUGCAAGACAGAUGUGAAAUCCCCGGGCUCAACCUGGGAACUGCAUUUGUGACUGCACGGCUGGAGUGCGGCAGAGGGGGAUGGAAUUCCGCGUGUAGCAGUGAAAUGCGUAGAUAUGCGGAGGAAUACCGAUGGCGAAGGCAAUCCCCUGGGCCUGCACUGACGCUCAUGCACGAAAGCGUGGGGAGCAAACAGG
rnacentral:rRNA from 1 species